CGGACGUCGGGGGAAAAGCCGAGCCUGGAGUGAAAAAGAGACGGAACUGCUUCCCGGUCUAAGGACGAGGCUGGAUGCCAACCCUGUUCCACAAAGUUCAAGGAGAAGCUGGAUGUCCUGUUUGAUCGCUUGUGACCAUUUGUACCACAGAUCUUCUCUGUUGUAUCCUGACCAGAGGCAGAAGUGAAUCCUCAGGUCUCCAGAGAAGUAACCCACAUUUCUUCGAUAAUUUUACCGACAAAUACUGUCCACGUAUUUGUUACUACGGCCUAAAGGAAUUACUCACGUGAGACGCUUACGGCCGAGGUCACGUGGGGUUCAAAGCAGAAGUAACUUGCUAGCGAAGAACAUGGAAACUCAUUAGGUGCAGAGACGAGCAGACGGCCCAAGGAGCAGAAGAGCGAGCACGCCGAUGUGAACCGUAUCGAGACCGCAGUUGACGGCUGAACACCUUUGAUCCCGCAUGCGAGAGCGAUGAACUUGGGUUUCGUGUGAAAGAGUAGGAAAAUCGAUAUUGUAAAGCCUCAUUUGUUAAAGCGUGGUGUGAACUGUGUCAAGAUUCAGAAACCUGCAUGAGAGAUAAAGUCCUUGAAGAUGAAGGUGAAUCAGAGAGAUCAGAGAUGUUAAGAGAGACACCGGGGUUUCUGAUAAACCCCUGGAAGGGAUAAGGCGAGGCACGUACGACACGAGAGGUACAAAAGGCACGGAAGGCACGGUAGAAAAGUGACACGACACACCCCGGGAUUGCUCUGUCCUGCACACCUCAGCACUGUGAGCCAAAGUGAGGAAUUCCCUUGAGGUGUGGCCUAAGGGGACACAGCUUGGACCUCCACAUCGCCAAAUCUGACUCAAAAAUCCUUGGCCACGAGUGCUGACCUAGCACACCGCUUUCAUGCCCCUCUGUAGGUCUUGGACUUCAACUUAGCUCUCAUAUGCGUGGGGACGAGAAGCCACGUGGGGCACAAGGGAAGGCCGCCUCACCGUCUGGCACGUUUCUGGCAGGCUGUUGUCUCUUGGACAGGUACAAUAAAGAAAACCAAAUAUCAGUGCGAGAUCUUAGCAGCACAUCUGUGAAAACCCAACACUCACGGUCUCCUGACAAUGGCUGGGUCCUUCGCCUGCAUGCUUCAGCCCCGCUGGGAUGCUGAGGCUUGCGGAGCGAAACUCUUCAAGCGGUAUUGCUGUGGAUCCGAAUGAACCGCCGCCUCGAUGAGGUUUGGGAGCCUCCCCGGUUGCGGAUGAACGGGGAGCCCGGGGUGGGCCGGGGCUGGAAACCCCUGGUUAUCCCACACAAGUGGGACCUAA